rnacentral:rRNA from 1 species
AUUGAACGCUGGCGGCAGGCCUAACACAUGCCAGUCGAGCGGAUGAAGGGAGCUUGCUCCUGGAUUCAGCGGCGGACGGGUGAGUAAUGCCUAGGAAUCUGCCUGGUAGUGGGGGAUAACGUCCGGAAAUGGGCGCUAAUACCGCAUACGUCCUGAGGGAGAAAGUGGGGGAUCUUCGGACCUCACGCUAUCAGAUGAGCCUAGGUCGGAUUAGCUAGUUGGUGGGGUAAAGGCCUACCAAGGCGACGAUCCGUAACUGGUCUGAGAGGAUGAUCAGUCACACUGGAACUGAGACACGGUCCAGACUCCUACGGGAGGCAGCAGUGGGGAAUAUUGGACAAUGGGCGAAAGCCUGAUCCAGCCAUGCCGCGUGUGUGAAGAAGGUCUUCGGAUUGUAAAGCACUUUAAGUUGGGAGGAAGGGCAGUAAGUUAAUACCUUGCUGUUUUGACGGUACCAACAGAAUAAGCACCGGCUAACUUCGUG